UGUACCCGCUACUCUUCUUAGAACCACACUCUAAAAGCUCUUUCUUUUAGCCUCUAUUGGUUUUUCUUAACCAUAAUGGAGGCGUCACCGUGUUUGUUUCGAAGUUGACGCCCAUUCGGAGUUGCGUAAUAAAGACCGAAAAUCAUAAACCUUCUUGACGACGCCCCGUUCAAUGCCCACAAAAAGGUCAAUGGUCUCCCUUUAUCCUUUUAUCUGUUGUAAGUAAUAUUUGAGUUCUUUUAUAAAAUAAUAAGUGUUAGUUCUCUUUUCUGAUCUUUGAUUAGAAACUAUGAAAUAAGGAUUUAUCAUGCUUUCAUUCAAUGUUUCAUGUUAUUUGUGAACUAGUGAACGCGGUUUAAGGUUUCUUUAUAAUAUUAUUCUGGAUUAAGUGAUCAGAUUAUGUGAAGCAUUGUAUGCUAUAGAAUCUUAUUUUUUCUAAAAUGUAAGUUGUUAACCAGAAGUCAUGACUUAUGGAUAUGUUGCCAUAGAAAGUAUGGUAAUAAAGUUAUGAAAUCAUCUCUGUUUAAAAUUUGGUAGAAUCUGCAAUUUAAAGUUUACUAGGAAUCAUGAUUUCGUUACUUGGUCAUUAUCCGUUAGCAUAGUGAUACUUCAGUUUGAGACAAUCUGUUGAUGACAAAGAAUCUGCAUUAUUCAUUAAAAGAUCUAUUUGUGCUCCUUCCUGUAAUGAAAUCAAGUUCAUAAACAAAAUAGAAACCUACUAGUAUAACUUAAGAAAGAUUACUGUUUUUUUAUUAUAACAUGGUUCAUACAUCCCUAACAACUAGUUAAAGUGAAGUGUGAGUGCAGAGUUAUGUGUUAAACACCCUUUUCAGGAAUUGAUAUCAAUUCUGCCUGCAAUUUAAGGAUCAUAUAAUUGUUACAUAGUAAGUCAGUGAUCAUGAUAGCAUGUAUAUAUGAUAUCUUAAGUAGUAAUGGUAAAAGUGAAAUCUGUUAGCAUGUGUUUGUUGAACAAAGUAUGCUUUUUGCUGCUGUCAUUUCUUAUGUACCUUGAAGAAUCAAGUUUAACUUUUGCUAAUGGCCUUAAGGAAGUGUAAAUCCCAAUUUGUUUGUUAGGCUGAAUCUCUUACUUUAGGAGGUAACUUGAAUACAUAAUGUAAUUGUUUAACCUUAAUAUAAGAACAUCACUUGAGAAACCUUUCAAAUUGGUAAAAGUUUAUGUGCCUUAUUAGCAUGAUAUGCAUAAGUACUGGUUUUUUAGCAUAAGUUUGUGAUUUAUGUACUCUUUCUGUAACUUUAGUUUUUCUUCUUUUAUCUUCCUUACGUGUUUAAUAUAUUCAGAUCCUCUUUCUAAUCCUUUCUUUUCUUUCUUUAUUUUGCAUGAAAACACCGGAGCCGCAAAGAGUUCCAGUAUGGGACUCGACGCUGCUGCCUAGACACAAAGCACGCACACCCCUUCAUUUUCUCUUCUAUUCCUGAACUUAUUUAGGCUCUCGAAAAAAGAGAGGAAAAGUAGAAGAGAUGACCAAACAUUGGCUGUCUAAUGUUACUUUCCUGUGUUUAUUAGCUAACUGUUUUAUGCGAUCUAUUUGCUUGCUUGGUUGCUCGAACUCAUUUGAAUUAAAUUAGUUUGUUUGAUCACGUAGUAUUUGGCAUCUCGAUGUGCAAACUUUAACACCAAUAAUAGCUUUUCAUUUAGUAGUCCGGGCUAAUAGACCUAACUAAUUUAAGAGCAUUUUUGAAGGUAUUUGGAGCUUUAAAUUGUGAAGGAAACUCGUUUUCAUUUAUCGAGUGUUAAACAAGUUUAAGGAAAUCAGCUAAAUUUUUAUCUUUACAAUAAUCUGCAAUUUUUUUUAAAAGUGAUAAACGAACAAGCUCAAACUUUAUUUUCCUUCAAACAAUAUAUUUCUUUCAAGUACUAGGCGAGUGGAUAGCUCCAUACAUCUUCCUUGAAUUUGGUUUCAUUGGAUUAAAGAACUUUGAACUUUGAACAACGAUCUAUUUCUUUUUCUAAAAGUUAUAGUUGUUCUCUUAGAAUCUUUAACUAGAGGUCUCAUUCUUAAAGUCAAAUAAUGCUUUCCAUUUAUUAAUUUGUGCUAAGUUUAGGUAACUAUCUACUUUAAGCUGCCUACGGUAAUUCAUAGCAUACAUUUUAGUGUUAACUUUCUUUUAUUUAUACUUAUAAAUGACCACAUUUUUUACAACCCUUAGUCUUAAUUAACUUAAGUUUGGCCGGUUAACCAUAUUAAUGGAUCAUAUACAGAGUGCUUAAUACCUUUUCUAUAAGAUUAAAUAAAGCCCUUACCCGUAGUCUUAAAGGUUAAAUAGACCAUAAAACAAAGUUAACUGCAUUACUUAAGCUUUUAAAUAUAGGUGUCUUAAUUCACCUUAGAAUUAAUUAGAUGACGACUCUUUUAAUUAAUUAACACUUGACUUACCAAUAUGUUAUGCUCUAAUUUGACCCGAUUAAAAUGGGGUAUAACAAUCAUCCCCGACCCUGAUAAGGACAUCACCACACACGUGGAGGGGUACUUAAGCAUUUAUACAUACCCCUUCAUGUUUGGCACAUAGUUCUCGAUUUUUGCAAAAGGUACGAGGUCUGCCUUAGGUAGAUUCACCCGUCCUUUUGGAGGACCGUGAUGUAAAAGAAGAAUCUAUGUUAAAUUUCAUUAAUUUUGGCAUGUUUUAGAGCUCAAGUCCAAACAUAUAGACUUCUUUUCAAGAAGUCCAAAAAGCUCAAGAUUGAUUUCAAGAAGCCAAGAUUCUUUAAAUAGGAUUUAUUUUAUUCCUUUUAGAAUAAGGAUUUUACUUUUAGUAGAAUUCUAGCUUCUUUUCCUUGUAGAAUAAGGAUUUUACUUCCCUUGUCUUUAGUUAUUUUAUUUUCUUAUUAGAAUAGGAAAUAUAGUCAUCAAGAAGAGACUCUAGGCGUAUAUAAAGGGUUCUCUUGCCUUGUAGAAAAUAAUUCACGUUUUUAUGCUUGCCCUAGUUUUACAAUAGAGUGUUUUUCUCUAUUUUUUCUUCUUUAUCCUUGUUUUUGGUUCCAAGCAAGAUGGUGAUAGUCUUUAUCUUGUCUUCAAUUAUGUGUGGUGUUUAUUUAUCGUGCUAAUUGAGUCUAAAUGGUGGCUUUAGGAAUUUUAUAGUUCUUGAUUAUUCAAAAAUACGUUUCUUGAUCUAAAUUCAUUUUUUUAUUAUCAGAGAAUCAUAACUUUCCUUGAACCGGUACAACAUCAAUAUUUACUUGUUUUGAAUGAGUAAAUAUUCUUUCUUAUAGUUCAGAUUGUCAUCUUUCACCCUCGUUUUUGAAUCAUCAGAUUCUGUGUCCUAAAACUUGAGAUACGUUAUUUCUUAAAAUCGACCCACAAACCACAUUUUCGUUUCAAGAUCUUGAUCCUGGUCGAAUGAUUCUUUGUUAACUGAAAGAAUCACAUCAUGGUAUCAGAGCUAUAAUCCACAGGUCCCAAGUUGAUGAAUUCAUCACAUCAAUUUGGUAUCAGAACUAUUACCCAUAGGUCCAAAAGUUGAGAAAUCAUCAUGUCUAAGAUUCAAACAAGAGCAAGAUUCUUGGUUCAAGAAGAUGAAAAAACAAGACAACAUGAAUCUUUUCUACACUAGAUGUACCUCCAAUGAAAAAGUUUGUUCAUUGAUCAUUAAUCAUGGGAAUCACAUAAAUAUCGUUUCUGAAGAGAUGGUUUCUUAACUCGGCUUGUCAACCAAACUUCAUUCAUAUCCUUACAACAUUGAAGUUGAAGAUGAUGAUGGUUUAGAGAUAACUCAUCAAUGCCUAGUAUCUUUUUCUAUUGGUAAGAUAUAUAAAGACAAGAUUUGGUGUGACUUGGUGAAUAUGGGUGCUUGUCACUUAUUACUCGGAAGACCAUGGGUGUAUGAUAAGUGUGCUAAAUAUGAUGAAGACCUUAAUACCUAUUCUUUUACAGAGAAUGGACAUAAGAUUAUUUUAGUACCGCUGAAUACCGAAGAAAUAGUUAAUUUUCUGAAGUUCAAUGAUGAUUCUUUUCUGACCAAAUUACAAAGAAUUGAUCCAAUCAAUAGAGAAAAGUCUUUGAUCGUUGGUCCAAUCAAGGAGGAGGAGCAUGAACUGGAUCUACAAGUUGAGGAUUUACCUCCUAAGUUUGAUGAUGACUUAUUGGAGCAUCCCAUAAGUGAGCUUAACUUUUCACCUAAUAGAGAUGCUCAACAUAAUAUUAAUUUGAUUGUUGAUUCUAUCCUUCCAAACGAGGCAUCAUAUUGCAUUAAUCCAGAAGUCCAUGAAAUUUCGCAAACACAAGAGGAAGGGUUGCUUAAAAAGGAGUCCAUAAUGGAGGGUUUGAGUUAUAUUUUGUUCCAGCUUUUUUUCUUGCCCCCAAAGGAUGAAUAUAUUCAAGAAUACAUACGAUAUAUCAACACAAAUUCCAUCAAUGGACAUGAUCUAGUUAAAUAUGAGAGCGUUGUUGCUGAUGAAUUCUCAAGAAGAUAUACUUCCAUCUCCAAGCUUGAUCUAGUAAUAGUACUUGAAUUUGAUUCUUCUAAGGGGUUUCAUGGUGCUAAAUCGAAUUUUCUUGGCAUAUCCCAUAAGCACCACAUUGACAUGGAGAAGUUCAAGAUUUCUGAAGAUCAAAAGAAUAUAAUUUAUGAUUAUGGAUUAGUGUUUAAAAAUUGAUUUAAGAGGAUUCAUUGAAGCAAUAUUGGUACAAAGUUACUAUUGAGAAAGUGAGAUUUAGUUCGGCCACAUGCUAAGCUUUGUUACAACACGAUAAUUUUUUUUAACAAGUUAGAACAAUGCAACUUAGAGCCUGGUGAAUAUGAGUUCUACCAAAGCAUGAUAGUUGUCAAGACUGUGCCAUUUGUGGAGCGUUUAGACUCAAGGACGAGUCUUUAUCAACCAGGGAGAAUGAUGUAAAAUAAGAAUCUAUGGAAGCUCAAGAUUGAUUUCAAGAAGCCAAGAUUCUUUCCUUCUUAAAAUGGGAUUUAUUUUAUUCCUUUUAGAAUAAGAAUUUUCCUUUUAGUAGGAUUCUAGUUUCUUUUCCUUGUAGAAUAGGGAUUUUAGUUUUACUUCCCUUGUAUUUAGUUAUUUUAUUUUCUUAUUAGAAUAGAAAUUAUAGUCAUCAAAGAAGAGACCAUAGGCCUAUAUAAAGGGUUCUCUUACCUUGUAGAAAAUAAUUCACGUUUUUUAGGCUUGCCCUAGUUUUACAAUAAAGUAUUUUUCUCUAUUUUGUCUUCUUUAUCAUUGUUUUUGGUUCCAAGUAAGAUGGUGAUAGUCUUUAUGUUGUCUUCAAUUGCGUGUGGUGUUUCUUUACCACGUUAGUUGAGUCCCAAUGAUGGCUUUAGGAAUUUUAUAGUUCUUGAUCGUUCAAGAACAUGUUUCUUGAUCUAAAUUCGUUUUUUGUUAUCAUAAUAUCAUAACUUUCCUUGAACCGGUACAACAUCAAUAUUUACUUGUUUUGAAUGAGUAAAUAGUCUUUCUUAUAGUUCAAAUCGUCAUCUUUCACCUCGUUUUUGAAUCAUCAGAUUCCGAGUCCUAAAACUUGAAAUACUUUGUUUCUUGAAAUCGACCCACAAAUCACAUUUUCGUUUCAAGAUCUUGAUCCUGGUCGGUUGAUUCUUUGUUAACUUGAAGAAUCACAUCAAUUUGGUAUCAGAUCUAUAAUCCAUAGAUCCCAGGUUGAUGAAUUCAUCACAUUAAUUUGGUAUCAGGACUAUAACCCACAGGUCCAAAGGUUGAUAAAUUAUCAUGUCUAAGAUUCAACCAAGAGUAAGAUUCUUGGUUCAAGAAGAUGAAGAAACGAAACAGCGUGAAUCUUUUCCACACUAGAUGUACCUCCCAUGGAAAAGUUGUUCGUUGAUCAUUGAUCAUGGGAGUCACAUAAAUAUUGUUUCUGAAGAGGUGGUUUCUAAACUCGGCUUGUCAACCAAACUUCAUCCAUAUCCUUACAACAUUGAAGUUGAAGAUGAUGAUGGUUUAGAGAUAACUCGUCAAUGCCUAGUAUAUUUUUCUAUUGGUAAGAUCUAUAAAGACAAGAUUUGGCGUGAUGUAGUGAAUAUGAAUGCUUGUCACUUAUUACUUGGAAGACCAUGGGUGUAGGAUAUGUGUGCUAAAUAUGAUGAAGACCUUAAUACCUAUUCUUUUACAGAGAAUGGACGUAAGAUUGUUUUAGUACCGUUGAUUUCCGAAGGAAUUGCUAAUUAUCUAUAGUUCAAUGAUGAUUCUUGUAUAUGGAAAAAUCGGAGGAACCAAUUUUCCGCCAUUAUGAUGCCUCGUCAGCACGUUUUCAAAGGCUCGAGGCUAUGGUCGGGAUUCGCCCCCGAGGGGCUAUCGACGCUCGACCUCAGGGCAUUAUAGAUCAACGGUUAUGGUGAAAAAGUGGAAAGUUCCUAAGGCGCGU
rnacentral:lncRNA from 1 species